AUUGAACGCUGGCGGCAGGCCUAACACAUGCAAGUCGAGCGAGCGGCGGACGGGUGAGUAAUGUCCGGGAAACUGCCUGAUGGAGGGGGAUAACUACUGGAAAAGGUAGCUAAUACCGCAUACCAUCAGAUGUGCCCAGAUGGGAUUAGCUAGUAGGGGGGGGAAUGGCUCACCUAGGCGACGAUCCCUCGCUGGUAUGAGAGGAUGACCAGCCACACUGGAACUGAGACACGGCCCAGACCCCUACGGGAGGCAGCGGUGGGGAAUAUUUCACAAUGGGCGAAAGCCUGAUGCAGCAAUUCCGGGUGUGUGAAGAAGGCCUUCGGUUUGUAAAGCACUUUCAGCGGGGAGGCGUUACCCGCAGAAGAAGCACCGACUAACUCCGUGCCAGCAGCCGCGGUAAUAC
rnacentral:rRNA from 1 species